GGCGGGUCCGAGGGCGAUGGCGUUGGCAGCUAAUCGCUCACAGCCGGAGAGGUCUUCCUUUUCCACUCCCACUGUGUCACUGGACUGGCUUUAA
rnacentral:Y_RNA from 1 species